GGGACGGGUUUGGCAGGACGUUA
rnacentral:siRNA from 1 species